rnacentral:lncRNA from 1 species
AUACAUUUUUAUACGACCGCAAAAAUUUUAAUUUUUCGUCGUAUAUUGCUAUCACGUUGGCGUCGUCGUCUGCGUCGUCGUCGUCGUCGUCGUCCGAAUACUUUUAGUUUUCGCACUCUAACUUUAGUAAAAGUGAAUAGAAAUCUAUGAAAUUUUAACACAAGGUUUAUAACCACAAAAGGAAGGUUGGGAUUGAUUUUGGGAGUUUUGGUCCCAAAAUUUUAGGAAUUAGGGGCCAAAAAGGGCACAAAUAAGCAUUUUCUUGGUUUUCGCACUAUAACUUUAGUUUAAGUAAAUAGAAAUCUAUGAAAUUUUGACACAAGGUUUAUGACCACAA